GAUGAACGCUGGCGGCGUGCCUAAUACAUGCAAGUAGAACGCUGAAGCUUGGUGCUUGCACCGAGCGGAUGAGUUGCGAACGGGUGAGUAACGCGUAGGUAACCUGCCUCUUAGCGGGGGAUAACUAUUGGAAACGAUAGCUAAUACCGCAUAAAAGUCGAUAUCGCAUGAUAUUGAUUUGAAAGGUGCAAUUGCAUCACUAAGAGAUGGACCUGCGUUGUAUUAGCUAGUUGGUGAGGUAACGGCUCACCAAGGCGACGAUACAUAGCCGACCUGAGAGGGUGAUCGGCCACACUGGGACUGAGACACGGCCCAGACUCCUACGGGAGGCAGCAGUAGGGAAUCUUCGGCAAUGGGGGCAACCCUGACCGAGCAACGCCGCGUGAGUGAAGAAGGUUUUCGGAUCGUAAAGCUCUGUUGUAAGAGAAGAACGAGUGUGAGAGGGAAAGUUCACA
rnacentral:rRNA from 1 species